rnacentral:rRNA from 1 species
AGCGUAGGUGGCCUAACAUGUCAACUGUGAAACCCGGAGCUCAACUCCGGACUUGCAGUUGAAACUGGUAGGCUUGAGGACGGUAGAGGAAGACGGAACUGCCAGUGUAGGGGUAAAAUCCUUAGAUAUUGGCAGGAACGCCGGUGACGAAGGUGGUUUUCUGGGCCGGUUCUGACACUGAUGCUCGAAAGCCAGGGAGCGAACGG